rnacentral:rRNA from 1 species
UGGGGAAUUUUGGACAAUGGGCGAAAGCCUGAUCCAGCAAUGCCGCGUGUGUGAAGAAGGCCUUCGGGUUGUAAAGCACUUUUGUCCGGAAAGAAAUCCUUGGCUCUAAUACAGUCGGGGGAUGACGGUACCGGAAGAAUAAGCACCGGCUAACUACGUGCCAGCAGCCGCGGUAAUACGUAGGGUGCAAGCGUUAAUCGGAAUUACUGGGCGUAAAGCUGCGCAGGCGGUUUGCUAAGACCGAUGUGAAAAUCCCCGGGCUCAACCUGGGAACUGCAUUGGUGACUGGCAGGCUAGAGUAUGGCAGAGGGGGGUAGAAUUCCACGUGUAGCAGUGAAAUGCGUAGAGAUGUGGAGGAAUACCGAUGGCGAAGGCAGCCCCCUGGGCCAAUACUGACGCUCAUGCACGAAAGCGUGGGGAGCAAACAGGAUUAGAUACCCUGGUAGUCCACGCCCUAAAACGAUGUCAACUAGUUGUUGGGGAUUCAUUUCCUUAGUAACGUAGCUAACGCGUGAAGUUGACCGCCUGGGGAGUACGGUCGCAAGAUUAAAACUCAAAU